AUUGAACGCUGGCGGCAGGCCUAACCCAUGCAAGUCGAACGAGUGGCGGACGGGUGAGUAAUGUCUGGGAAACUGCCCGAUGGAGGGGGAUAACUCCUGGAAACGGUAGCUACUACCGCAUACCAUCGGAUGUGCCCAGAGGGGUUUAGCUAGUAGGUGGGGUAACGGCUCACCUAGGCGACGGUCCCUAGCUGGGCUGAGAGGAUGACCAGGCAACCUGGAACUGAGACACGGUCCAAACUCCAACGGGAGGCAGAAGUGGGGAAUAUUGCACAAUGGGCGCAAGCCUGAUGGAGCCAAGCCGAGUGUAUGAAGAAGGCCUUCGGGUUGUAAAGUACUUUCAGCGAGGAGGCGUUACUCGCAGAGGAAGCACCGGCUAACUCCGUGCCAGCAGCCGCGGUAAUAC
rnacentral:rRNA from 1 species